rnacentral:rRNA from 1 species
GAGUUUGAUCAUGGCUCAGAAUCAACGCUGGCGGCGUGCCUAACACAUGCAAGUCGAACGGACGUAGCAAUACGUCAGUGGCGCACGGGUGAGUAACGCGUGGAUAUCUGCCUUUUGGUUCGGGAUAACCUUGGGAAACUAGGGCUAAUACCGAAUGGUUCCUACGGGAUAAAGAUUUAUCGCCAAAAGAUGAGUCCGCGUCCGAUUAGCUAGUUGGCGGGGUAAUGGCCCACCAAGGCGACGAUCGGUAGCUGGUCUGAGAGGACGAUCAGCCACACUGGGACUGAGACACGGUCCAGACUCCUACGGAGGCAGCAGUGGGGAAUUGUUCACAAUGGGCGCAAGCCUGAUGACGCAACGCCGCGUGGGGGAUGAAGGCCUUCGGUCGUAAA